AGCGAACGCUGGCGGCAGGCCUAACACAUGCAAGUCGAGCGAAGUCUUCGGACUUAGUGGCGGACGGGUGAGUAACACGUGGGAACGUGCCUUUAGGUUCGGAAUAACUCAGGGAAACUUGUGCUAAUACCGAAUGUGCCCUUCGGGGGAAAGAUUUAUCGCCUUUAGAGCGGCCCGCGUCUGAUUAGCUAGUUGGUGAGGUAAAGGCUCACCAAGGCUACGAUCAGUAGCUGGUCUGAGAGGAUGACCAGCCACAUUGGGACUGAGACACGGCCCAGACUCCUACGGGAGGCAGCAGUGGGGAAUCUUGCGCAAUGGGCGAAAGCCUGACGCAGCCAUGCCGCGUGGAUGAUGAAGGUCUUAGGAUUGUAAAAUCCUUUCACCGGUGAAGAUAAUGACUGUAGCCGGAGAAGAAGCCCCGGCUAACUUCGUGCCAGCCGCCGCGGUAAUAC
rnacentral:rRNA from 1 species